CACCACAGGCACCCGUGGCGUACCAGGCAGUUUGGCAGCAGUUUUACCAAGCAUGAAUGAUUCUCAGCCUGCCUGUGCUUGGAUCACGGUUCUUACGGCUGCGCUUUUGAAUCUCUUUAGGACUGAUGAAGAAGAGGGAAAGAAGUACAUAACUACAUGGUUUGUUCAGCUUGUUCCAUUCUGGUGCAGUGAGCACAAUGAUGUUCAUUCAAAGGUGUUUGAAUCAUUUGAAGCGCUGCUGGAGGAAAGCAUAGGAAAAUGUAGUGAAGAA